CUGUGGGGCUUAGGCUCCUCCUAAUGAGAGCCUCGGCCGUGGCCCAGGUCCCCGUCGCUGGCGCGGGGCUUCUAAAUUUGGCAGCGCGAACAGACUUGCUUCCUUUCAGCAAUUGAUCUGAAUAGCAGAAUCCCAUCCUGAUGGUCCCAAUCGCAUUUACAGGCCGUGGGGUGAAGGCCGUGCUAACUGGCCACUUGCCUCACCACUGGCUUUUCAACAAUCGGUUGUAUUCUCUGCCCGGCAGGAAGCAGCGGGCCCAUCAGGGCUCUGGGCUCCCUCUUUGUUCUGACUUUAUGGCCUUUUAUGCCACAAUAAGAAACACUGUGUACUCCACGGGAGCCCAUUGUGCCAGGCUGCAGAGGGGCCGGUGCUCUUCCCCCAGGGGCAAGAGGGGCUUUGUGACAGGCUGGGGGACAAAAUAAGGGGUGCUGGACACUGUUACUAGGGCAACUGCCUGGCCAGCGUGGCGGCAGCUGUGGUCUCUGGGUCCCUCUCACCAGAAGGCCAGGGGGAGGGCAGGAGAAGGAUGGAGUUUCUUCUAGAGCAGCAGUCCUGGUUACCUGGUAAAUGAUACAUCAGGACUGUGCUAGCGGUGGCCUCCAUUCUCUCCAGGCUGCUAGGAUGACCUCAUCCUGCCUCUAGAUUCCAUGCCAGGGGGUGGCAUCUUUCUAAACCAACUCUCACACGCCACCAGGAAGCGCCGUCUUGCCAUGUUUUCAGGCACUCCGGAUGGACAGACCGCAGGCUUCCCACGCAGCCGCACGGCUCCACGAGGGGAUUGGCGGGGGAACCCCCGGCUAUCUGACAGAUGCGACACAAGUCUCCCUCAUCCUCAGAGUCCUCCUCCAGGAGACUAAGUGGAAAACAAGCCCUCGUCACUAGGAGUCUACACGUUUGCAGUUUCCGCAAAUACCAGUUCCCAGAGCGUAGGGUGGGGCGGGGAGGAAAAGGGAGCCAGCCCCCCCGCUCCCCCGCCCCCAUGCCUUCCUGGGGGCUAACCCACUGCUCCCUCUGACCCUGCUGAAGAUUCUUCCCGGCAUGAUGGUUACUGAUAACAGGGUCAGGGAUUCUUUCUCUUUUCUUUUCUUUUUAGGCCGCAGCAGGCAGGUGGUAGAGGUAUUUAAAAAUUUUUUUAAUUUCCUUUUUUUUAGGCCGCACCCCGCAGCAUGUGGGAUCUUAAUUCCCUCACCAGGGAUCGAAGCCCGUCCCCCCUGUAGUGGAAGCGCAGAGUCUAAACCGCUGGACCAUCAGGGAAGUCCCUAGCGUCACGAUUCUUAAGUCAGGCUCCUUUGCAGUUAUUGAUCCGUGUGAGCUAACCAGGAGCAGCAGCGCUCCUAUCACACAUCCAAAGGUUGGGCAAGAGCUCCAGAGGGAAACUGAGCCAGAGGCUAGGAGCUCUUCUCCCCGCACCCGCCAGGGCCUGCCUUUGAGGUUUGCUUCUAAAACUUGUGGGUUUGAUGACUUUGGACAAGGUGCUUGAGCUUUCCAGGUCUCUGUUUCCUCAUGGGUAAAGCCACGAUGAUCCGACUACUGCUACCCACUUACAGGGGCGUGGAGCGGCCUGGAGGGGGUGAUGAGAAUGAACCUGUUGUGCAGACAACAAAGUGCAUCUGGAGUCUGGUCAAGUAUUGGCAUGUGGAGACCACUCGGUAGAUGUUGGUUGGGAUGAGUGAUGAACCAGUGAACUUGGACGUGAACUCACCAGUAACUCAACCCUUGCCAAUAAGCUGUGCCAACAUUCCAGAAUGUAAGCUGCUGGAAUGUGUUGAAGGUGGAAUUAAUGAAGAUGUAAGCAGACAUAUUUGUGUCUCAUAAAUGGUGAGUCAAUAGCUGGUUGAUGUUUCUGCAGGGAGGCUUCUGAGGAAUCUGAGGCUAAUUGUUUGUUCUUCAGAAUCCUCAUGGGCCUAGGGACUCUCUGGUCAAGGAAAGCAAAACUGGCUAAAGACUAAUAUCAAAGGAGAGGAAGAAAUGGACAUUACUUUGGAUAUGGGAGUGUAUGCUCAGUGUCUUAAAAGAGUUUUCUUCCCAAGAAAGGGACGUUCAAUGAAAAUGAACAGAAUUAUACCAUCUCAUGGUGGGCACAAAUAAAAGAAGAGAUAUGCCAUGUUUACCAAAGAAAGACUCGAUGUCUCCAAGAUGUCAAAUAAUCUAUAGAUUCAAUGCAAUUCCAAUGAACAUCCCCAAAAGCUGAUUUUUAAAUGUAUAUAGUCAAGGACUCUUAAGGAACAAAAUGGGGAGGGAGGCUUUUGCACUUAUAAACUUAUAAAUCUUCAGUCAUUGAGAUGGUGUGCCUUAGGGAAAAACAACCAAAAAAACAGAACAGACAGAACAGAGAGCCCUGAGACAGACUUAUAUAUUUAUAGUUAUGUUAUGUGACAGAUGUGGCUCUGCAGGGGAAAGAUCCUGGGACACAUUGGUAUUCACAAUGCAUACCUCACACCACAAAUUAAAUAUCACACUUAAGUCCAAAAUUCAUUUCACAUGAAGUCCUAAACGUGCACAGGAAAACUGUAGAGAUUUUGGAAGAAAAUAGGAAGAAUGUCAUAAUGACCCCAGGUUAGCAAAGGAUUUCUUAAGACAACAAGGUACAAAUCACAAUCUGUAAAGAAGAUGGAUACAGUUGGCUACAUUAAAAUUAAGAAUUUAUUUUCAUUAAAAAACAUCAGGAAAGAGGAGAGACAAACUACAAAUUGAGAAAAGAUAUUUCCAACACACAAGUGUCAAAGAAUCAGAUUAAUAGCCAGACUAUAUAAAGGAUUUAAAAUAUAUAUAUAUUCUAAAAGAAAAAUGGGCAGAAGACAUAGAUAAGCAUUUUAUAGAAGAAGAAAUAGAAAUGGGUCAUUUAACAUUUAAAAGAGCCAACAGGGACUUCCCUUGUGGUCCAGUGGUUAAGACUUCCUGCUCCCAAUGCAGGGGCCACAGGUUCAAUCCCUGAUCAGGGAACUAAGAUGGCGCAUGCCACACAACGUGGCCAAAAAAAAUUUAAAAAGAGCCAACAGAACACCUAACCUUACUAACAGUCAUGAAAAUGUAAAUUAAAGCCACGGUAUCAUUUUACUCCCGUGCGACUGGUGACAAUUUGUAAAGCCAAUCAGUACAAGUGCUGACAAGGAUGGACAACAGUAUACAUCACUGUUGAGACAGUACAUUGGCAUUACUUGUGGUGGAAGCCGUGCUACCCACCAGUCCAACAAGUCCGCUCCUGCAUAAAUAUCCUAGAGAACUGUUCCCAUGUGCACCAGGAGACGUUUACAAGAAUGUUCAUGUAGCACUGUGUACAGAAAACAGUAAAGGACCCAAAUGUCCAUCGACAGGAGAAUGGCGAAAUUGUCUGUAGUGGUGAAAGCAAAUGCAUUAAAGCCCCAGAAUACCAACCAGGAUGCACCUGGCUAACGAUGUAGGGGAAGAAGCAGGUCACGGGAGAACAGAUAUUCCAUUUCUAGGGAGUUCAAAAAUAAUAGGAACAUUUCUACAGAAUUCAAAAAUAUAUACAAUGUGUUGUUUAGGAACACAUAUGCUCAUAUGGUGAAGCCAUGAAGCAAAAAAACUUCCAACAAGAAACUAAAAAGCAAAGGAAUGAUGAUUGCAAUGCAAGAAUGAUUUCCAGAGGGUUUAGGGGGUUGGGAGGGAGGAGAUGAAGGAGGGAGAUGAGGAGAUACAGUGAGUGAGGGGCUCCCAAGCUCCAGUGAUGUUCCGUUUGCUGGAAGGUGGGCACAGGGAUGCACAAGUUUUGUUCUGCUUCUGAUUCUCUAGAGUGUGCGUAUGUUAUAUGCUUAUCUGUAUGUAUCAAGCUAACUAAUCAAGUGAACUUUUUUUUUCUUCUUUUCUUUAUUUUGCAGUACGCGGGCCUCUCACUGUUGUGGCCUCUCCCGUUGCGGAGCACAGGCUCCGAACCAGCAGGCUCAGCGGCCAUGGCUCACGGGCCCAGCCGCUCCGCGGCAUGUGGGAUCUUCCCGGACCGGGACAUGAACCUGUGUCCCCUGCAUCAGCAGGCAGACUCUCAACCACUGCGCCACCAGGGAAGCCCUCAAGCGAACCUUUUAAAGAGUGGACCUGGGCACAUGCAAGUGGCCUUGUAAAUUCAUUUCUGAUGGAGAAGAGCUGGAAGACUCCACCAAGGACAAGCUGCUUUGAGGAUUUAGUAAGAGAUCUUCUGAAAUUUGGAAGACACAGAAGAGGAUGAAGAAGAAAUAAAAAUCACCCAAUAUCCAAAACUCAGAAGACCAUUGCUACUGUUCUGGAAUUCAGAGGAGAGGACAAGCGUGGCUUAGGCCUUGGGAUGAACGCUCAAGACUGAAAGAGGAGGUAUCCGCCAACCAGGGCUUUGAAAUAAAGCUUAUAUUCGCUUCGAUGUUAUUUCUUACACGGUAAGGUCUUGACGCCUUGGAUCAGAGGGGAGAAGAUCUCCGUGGGAGGUGAGUCGUCUGCCAUCCACAGACCCCCCUAUCCUUCCCUCCUGGGAAGUGGGCAGGAACUGUGGCCAGGUGAGACAUCCCUGGGCUGCAGACUGCCUCUCCACCCCCCACCCCCACCCCAUCCCCCAACACCUACCACCCACCACCCAAAUACCCUCUCCAGAAGCCUGACGGCGGGCACCCACUCAAAACCAUGCACAGUCUCACUUAUGGAGUAAUGGCAGAGAAAAUUAAAACUCCUCCCUGCCCUGCCUUUUCCCAGCAGCCUCCCUUGGAGAAGGAAAUUGGAUCCAAUAGUUUGCUUUUAAGUGUUUCACUGUAAGGUACACACUCUUCACAUAAAAACGGAAGUGUCUAAAAACCACACGGAAUUCACCAGGUUACAGCACAAGUCAGUCUCUCUGAGGACUGAGGUGCACGAGCUGCAGGUCCUUACCUACUCCCCUGAGGGCUGGCGCCUUCCCGGGCAGCUGCAGUUUCUCUCUGCUUCUGUCCCCAGACGCUCUCGGGCUCUGCAUUUCUGGGCUGACUAUUAGGUUUGGCCUCCUCUUGCUUGAUAAAAUCUGCGAUGCCUGGGCUGCUGAAAGAUGCAAAAUCUUUUCAAUAAUUUUUACAGGAAAACAUCUUCUGUAGAAAGAAUGCUCAAAGGGUGGGGAAGGCUUUUAAGGAAAUAGACCCAGGAGGUCAGGGAAGAGCUGGAUUUGAAAUCUGGUUCUAUGACCUUCUAGCCAUGGGGGCUUGGACAAAUCACUUCUGGAAGCCUCAGUUUUCCCACCUGUGACAUGGGAAUAAUAGUACCUACUUCACAAGGCUUUUAUCACCAUUAAUGAGCACCCCUGACACCUGCAAUGUGGAGUCUGUAGGGGGUGUUUCCUUUGACUAAGAAGUUUCUAGCUUCCAGUUCUUAGAUGUUGGGAUGGGCCUGUUGGUAAAACCGUCAAGAGCCUUUUACAUUUGGGACACACCACAAGCCCUGCUCCCCACGUGUUCAUCCAAGUUUGAAUCACAACCUAUUUUACACCUGCAUAUUCAUAUCCUCAGGUUGUUUUUUAGCAGCUAAUCUGGCUUUCCAGAAAGGUUCCAAGCAUCUGGGGACCAGAUACCCUUUCUCUUGUCUGUGUGCUACCCACCACUGGACUGGGAUGAUACACUCACAGGAAGAUGGUAGCUGGAGUGCUAACUUGGAUUGAGUUCCCAAUAUUUUUUUUUAAGAUUCACAUUUUGAAUUAGGUUGCUAAUUAGUACGAAUAAUCUCAAGUUUCUUCCUCACAUGUAUUAAGUGUUAGUGCCCGUGAGUUUAGGGAAAGAGUUUUGUUAUUUUCCAUGCAGCUCUACAAGUUCUCGAGUUCACAGGCAGUUAAAUUGUGAAUAUCUCGAUUAAAUGCUUCCAAGAGAAUUUGCUUGGCUCAUCCCCUUUUGGACAGUUCAGAAAUUUCAGAAAUAGCCGUAGCCAGCAGGCCACGGGGGUAAAGCUGGGAAGGGUCCCUGAGUCCUGUGCGAGAGAACAGCCUUUCUUGGCACGUGAAGACAACUGAAUUUAUGUUCCGUGGUGUAAGCUGUGGUUGGGUGAAUAGUUUUCAUCCAGAUUCAGGGAAGGAAUGAAAGCUCUCCUUGGUAGUCUGUGAAACCUCAUUUAAAACAGUGAUUAGGUACUACCUACUUUCCCUGACAGGCCCUGGUAGGGGAAGGCAGUGGGUUCUGUGCUCUAAGACAGAGAGGAUCGUGUUCCACAGGGAACUUACUAAAAGGGGGAGCUACCGGUGGUGUGGGUUCCAGCUUAGGGCACGUCGGUGGAGCCCAGAGAGGUUGUGGGCAUGACCAGAAAGGAGAGAAGAGAAUCCUCCAGGAAAUGAGAUGGUGUAGGAUGGUGGUUACACAGGAUCUCACUGACCAAGCGUGGGGAGAGAGGAGGAGGGACCAAGGCUUUACACUAAGGGACCGGCCAUGGAGGAAAGCGGGGAGGCACUUAGCCCCAGGAGCUGUGCUCCUCUGGUCCACAGGCUUCUCCCCAUCCCCUGAGGCCUCGUUCCUGUCCAGCGCUCAGAAGUCAGCGACUGCCUCCUGCCUAAGCCCCUGGCUGACCGGGGAGAAAGCAGCGGGGGUUAUUACUUACUGAGGAGGAAACAGAGGGAGGAUCAGGGAAGGGCCAGGCUCAGGGCACAGGCCAAGUCCAGUGUGUGUUCAGGACCUGGCUCAAAGGUCCUUGUCACAAGGAUUUUACUCUGAUUCCCAGCAGAAUAUUCAAGUUUCCUUCACAGCCCAGGCAGCAGAACUUCACCCUGCCUGCAGCCCCCUACUCCCCCUGCUCCACACCUGCACACCCUCGGGGGAGUGAACGCCCUCCCAGAGGGCCUUUCUUCUUCAGCCUGCGCUAACAUGUGCCAGCCAGCAAGUCCCUGGAGGUCUGUUUCCAGUUUUAGGAGUCUGCUUUGGCCAGACGUUCAGGGUCCUUAGGGCCUUUAGCAUUUAAAUAUUCCAAAAUUGCCUCAGGUGUGUGUCUUUUCUCUCCAACUAGACUGUAAGCUCCUUAAGGGUGAGGACCCUGUCUUAGCCAGCCUGUGUGUUGCCUCAAAUUCUACUGCAGGGCAAAUCAUAAUCGCCUAGCAGGCCUUGAGAAGAUGUAUUCAGCUGAAACUAUGGGGAAAUUCCAGAAGUAGAACCAUUUGUUUUUUCUUGUGCUGAACACCAAGGAUGACUUAAGAUAAAAGGUUAGUCUGUUUUCUUGUUCAAAAAAAGUACCUUCUUCAAAGCGUCAGAUCUCUUAAAUGAUUUCCAAAAUGAUUUCCAUAAUCCUGUCUCCUCUAAUUGAGUUCUCAGCAAACUAAAGUCAUAAAGCUGAAACACGAGAGGCUGUUUGACCAGGUCUGGCAGUGAAGAAAACACUGCUGGUACUGUAAGCAGAAUCCUCUGACUUUGGGCAAUUUGAAUCUCAGUAUCUGCAGCUGUAAAGUGGGAAUAUUCCUAUCUUGUAGAGUUAUUGUGAAGAUUAGCAAUAAUGUAUGUAAAUGCUCUAACUCAGUGUUUGGUGCUUAUUAGCUGCUAAAAAUGGUAACUGCUGCUUCCACCACAAAUAGUGAUACUACUACUAAUAAUAAUUGGGAAUCUGAAGUCACUCCCCUGAGAGAACUGAAUUUGACCAGAAAUUUAUUAUUAUGCAGGCUUUAUAGGUUGAGAAUAACUUAUUCAGCAGCCUUUAUUUCUGUGUUAUUCUUUUUUUUUUUUUUUUUUUUUUUUUGCGGUACGCGGGCCUCUCACUGUUGUGGCCCCUCCCGUUGCGGAGCACAGGCUCCGGAUACACAGGCUCAGCGGCCAUGGCUCACGGGCCCAGCCGCUCCGCGGCAUGUGGGAUCUUCCCGGACUGGGGCACGAACCCGUGUCCCCUGCAUCAGCAGGCGGACUCUCAACCACUGCGCUACCAGGGAAGCCCCUGUGUUAUUCUUGCUCUCUUCCUUAAUCCUGUUAUAAAAUCCAAGAGGCAAACAGCAACUUGUUUUUUUAUUAUAAUUUGUUCAACAAAUACCCGUGCGCCUUUGCUAUGCAAUGAUCCAGGGGUUCACAGAGAUGAGUAACACAUUUUGGCCUAAAGAUUAUAAUCUAACUUGGCUGCACCACUGACUUCUUCCCUGUGAUACGCUUUAGGUUCAGUGGAAAGCAAACUCCUGGGAAUUGUUCCUUCUUCUCCAUCUGCAACUGAAGUUACAAAUGAGGUGACCUAAGCUGCCUAGUUUGUAUGUCCAUGAAUUCCAGUUCCUAAUCACCUUGCCCGCAUCCAAAGUGAACCGAACCUCAGACCUCUGGGGCCUUUCUGAGAUGGUCCUCACCGUGGCAUGUUACAUAUAUUCAUCUGCAGGAAGGCCAAGUUAUAUUUACACUGAAAGGUGAAAUGUAACUUCCUCUCCAGGUAGGAGGACAGACGCUUUGCCUUACAGAGAACGGAGGGGUUGUGUUCAGGCGUUUCCUCGCCAGCCGGCCUGACACCCUGAAGUUUGUAGGUGAAUUUGGGGGAGACUGUGGCUUGCUUUGGGCACCGUGAAGCCCACACCUUCUAGUAUCGGGGCAAAGGGGCACCUCCAGUAGCAAAAAACCCAAACAGCUGUUUACACAGAAGGUGUCUGCCUCCGUUCUCUCUCUUUUUUUUAAUAAGUUUAUUUAUUUAUUUAGUUAUUUUUGGCUGCGUUGGGUCUUCGUUGCUGCACGCGGGCUUUCUCUAGUUGCGGCGAGCGGGGGCUACUCUUCGUUGCGGUGUGCGGGCUUCUCAUUGCAGUGGCUUCUCUUGUUGUGGAGCACGGGCUCUAGGCGCGUGGGCUUCAGGAGUUGUAGCAUGCGGGCUCAGUAGUUGUGGCUCCUGGGCUCUAGAGCACAGGCUCAGUAGUUGUGGUGCACGGGCUUAGUUGCUCUGCGGCAUGUGGGAUCUUCCCGGACCAGGGCUCGAACCCGUGUCCCCUGCAUUGGCAGGCGGAUUCUUUUUUUUUUCUAACAUCUUUAUUGGAGUAUAAUUGCUUUACAAUGGUGUGUUACUUUUUGCCUUGUAACAAAGUGAAUCAGCUGUAUGUAUACAUAUAUUCCCAUAUCUCCUCCCUCUUGCGUCUCCCUCCCACCCUCCCUAUCCCACCCCUCCAGGUGGUCACAAAGCACCGAGCUGAUCUCCCUGUGCUAUGCGGCUGCUUCCCACUAGCUAUCUGUUUUACAUUUGGUAGUGUAUAUAUGUCCAUGCCACUCUCACUUUGUCCCAGCUUACCCUUCCCCCUCCGCAUGUGGCAGGCAGAUUCUUAACCACUGCACCACCAGGGUAGUCCUGCCUCAGUUCUCUUGACAGUGCUGGGACACUAAUUGUUGACCGAAUAGUUCUUAAUUUGACCAGGAAAGGGAGAAAAAGGUAGAAACCUUAUAUUUAUACAAGACUCUGAUGGCUGAGAACCGAGUCCAUUUAACGGUCCACGUUAAUUCCACGCACCUGAUAAUUGUUCCGCCCCUCACAUCACCUGCCGUACCCAGACACGGUUCUGGAUAGACCAAGUUUGGAAAGCAAGGUGAAGAGAAAGACAAUUCCUGAACAUUUACCCUCCCCCACACCAUCUUCACUUCGAUGCCCGGUGCCCAGGAGGUGCCAAGGCUCUGCCUGAGAUGCCUUUUGAAAAGAUUUAUUGCUUCUUUCAGAUCGUGGGAAGAAUUACAGCUUAAUCGCAGGAGCUGCUGUUGCCUUGGUGUAAUAGGCAGCUUUCGGUACAGUUACAAAUAACAGGCCCUGUCUGUUUGCCAGUCUGAGUGUGCUGGAAAUGAGUGUUGUCUCGCAUCCCCAGAGGAGCUCUUAAUUAAAGCUUCAUUAUGCACCAUAAAUAUGUUUUAUUUUGGGCCCCAGGAGGUGGGAUUUUUGAUUUGGGGAGGUGUAGGGCCUAAUAAGGAGUCAGGAAAGAAACUGUAAGCAGCGACUGAGCCCUUGAAUUUGUCUCUCCUCCGUGUGGUCCUGAACCAACAAUCAGAUCCAGCGUGGGCUUCCCCCAGAGGCCUGUCCCUGGUGCCACCCUCUCAGGGCCGGCUCGGUGGGCAUAGUCACACCCCCAAGGCUACGAGUAGACCCGGAGGAGCCUGAUCCGUUUCUGGUGGUUAACGAUCGAAACUGCGCCAGACGCGGGAGUGAAGAAAUCAGAUGAGUCUCGAGAGAGGAUGGGCUUUUAUUGGUCGCUCACUCCUUUAAGUGCUGGAAGAAGGCCGAGUGAAGUGGGAGCAGCUGUCUUGGUCUUCCUGCUUCCCCGCACGUUACACCUCCUGCCGUCGGUCACGGCGCUGCCCUCCGGAAGCUUAACGUCCCCCUGUCCCCACUCCCUGACUCCACUGUGCUGUGUCCUUCACCGAGGGCGACUUACCACACGAGGUAAAUUCUACUGGGCCUUCGGGAGUCCGGCAGGCACAGCACAGGGGUCUCGGCCGGGCUGGGGCAGGAGAUGGGGAAGUAGCACAGGGCUGCCGGUGACUCGGGUGCGAGGCCCGGAGAGGAGGGAAAGGAGACCGGAGGGAGAGGCGGGGAAGUGUCCCGGGCCCCCGGGGAGGCAGGCGGCAGUAGGGGCAGCUGGAGGCUGCAGAAGUUGGUAUUGGGCUGCAGGACGGGGGAGAAAGCAAAGACGGAGCAGUAAGGGGAAUAUUCAACACAGAACAGGGGGUGCUGGCUGCCGUCACCUGCACGGAAGAAAAAGAGCAGUCAGGAGGCAGCCCUCACGGUGGGAAAGGGCAUUUGGAAAAGGCUGUGAAUGAAUCUAAACUCAAAACUCGUUCUUCGGGGGCUGGGGGGUGGUGUGUCUAGGUGGCCUGGGGGCAGCCGGCCUGGCUCCUGCCCAGGAGGUGCCUGGCUUGGAGCUCAGAGUCACUGAAGAGCUAACCAGGGCAAUGGCAUCACCAUCACACCCUUCUCCAGCCGAUGGUCUCCGGCGUCCCUGACAGAUGCAGGAAAGUUCUUUCCCACUAAGUUCCCAUGUGGAAGCUCGUGGGCCCUUCUCCCCUCCCACAGCCAGUCUAAUUAGCUGUUCUGGCGGCAACAUAUGGUGGCCUGCUGGGUCUCACUUCGGUAACGCUCUCUCCCCCGAUUUUCCAGAUGCCCCGGGUUGGGAGGUUGUGGUCAUGCCCUAAUCUGGCCUUUCUGCUGCAGAGGGGAAGCUCGGGGAAAGAGAAAGAAGCAGAGAGAUCCUGGUGGGCUCACGGCAAGGGAGAGAGAGCAAGCGGGGAGAAGCAGGUGGACGGGGGAGGUGUCCAAGUGAAGUUAAUGAUUUGUUUGCUAACCUCACACUCCAUCUGCCAUCCUUGCUGGACGCAGAAUAUGGGCACGUGAUGCAGUCACGAUCCAGAGAGACCCCUCAAGCAUGACAGAUCUCUCAGCUCUGCCACUAGCCAAGCCGGGUCACCUUGGAUCAACGGCUUACCUCCUCAAAACCUGUUUUCUCUAGCCCUGCUCCUGCCAAGGUGGCCCUGAGACCAGCAGCGUGGCUGUCACCUGGCGGCUUCUUAGAAGUGCAGCCUUGCUACCCACUCAAACCUACUGAAUCAGAACCUGCAGUUGAUUGAGGUCCCCAGACAGCUUGGAAAGUUGUUGGAUGCCAGUGGACUUGCCCGGAAACCCAUCAACCUUGGCCUUUCAGAGGACAUCUUCAACAGAAUUUAUUUGCCAGGGCAAGAUUUUGGAAGCAGGCUCACCAGACUCCAUCCAGAUCCAUUUUCCUGGCACAUAACUAGUAGGACUCUGCCCAGGCUCCAGGUGAGAGGAAAGGGCAGGAGAGGGUACUUACUUCCUGUGAGCCUGGCACGGGGAUCAAGAGUGACUUAGGACUCCAGGUGCCAGACCCCCACAGCACAAUGGCCUUUGGAUGCCUCUGCGUGUCCUGGAAAGGAGAGGUGGCUCCUUUCCAAGGCAGGAUGGGGCUGGUAGGGGUUUUGGGAACAGGCAGGAGUCCAGGAGCUGAUGGCCACCAUAGCUCCCUGUGCUCACGGGGCCUGCUGUCAGCUCUGCUUCCCCCUGAUUCAUUCAUGGGAGGAUGCAGAUCCUGCGUACAGACUGGGCUUUCGGUAAAGGUUAAUCCCCAAGCCUCCCUCUGCUUGAAAGAAGAAUAUGUAACUCGGCCAGGCUUAUUUCUCACCCUGUGUCAGUGUUCACCUUGAUCAUUAAAUAGGAUUUCUGAAUCAAUUGCACAUCAGACCCAGCUGGGUCUGGACUCACUGCCUGAGUUUUCCAUGUCUUUUUGGAGGGGAAGCAAACCUCUCACUUGGUGAAUGCUUUCUGAUGGUUCAUCUUUUUCCAUUUGGUGUUUUGCUUUGGAAAUUCAGGGCACAGUAGAAGUGUCUGUACCUGCGUUUGUGUUAGGAGUUUAAAAAUAUAACCCUGAUUUUUGGGAAAGGAAAAAAGAUUGGGGUGGGAGGUGGGGAGGAGGUAACGUGAAGACAAAGAAAACAAAGUUUUCUGGUCCAUUCUCCCUACUGAAUACAGCUGCCUUGUACCCGAUACCUUAAGGCUGUCAUGUAAUGAGCUAUGGUGUUGGGGGCCGUUCUAAUGGCUGAGCAUAUGUUUAUCAUUGAAUCCUCACAGCCAUCCCAGCAGGUAGGAUCUGUGCUGACGCCCAGGCUCUGCCAUUUUACAGAUGAAGACACUGAGGCACAGGGAAGUUACUUGCUCCAAGUAACAGCAGAUGAGAAACGGGGCUCAGAUGCUAAUCCAAGCAUUUUAAAGACGCUAAAGCACUUGCCCAAAACUGCACGGAGGGAGAUAACAAGGAGAAUCACAAGCCAACUCAUUUAGAAAUAGUUCCGUGGAAUGUAUGAAUUAAUUUAAAAUGCGUGAAUUUCUUCUAACAGAGUGCGAAGUACAAUGAAAAUCUCAGUUAUACAUCUAUUAGCAGAGGGCACUGAUGGUUCCUCUGUUGUAUUGAUAAGUAGCUGUUUUAGGCGUUCCAGAUAAUCGUUCACGUAGAAGGAUUAUAAUGGAUUACCAUUACAUAGAUUUGCAUGUAAGUCAAGCCACGUUCCCCAGCUGCAUUGUUUUAUUCAGGAAAAGUCUGGCGUAACUCAGUAUGGAAGGUUAGCCUAUUAGGCAGAUGUUGCAAAGGGAUGUCACUGUCUUAAUGCUUCAGUUUUGCACAGAACUCAGGUCUGACAUGGGAAGAAGUUUUGGUGACUUACUGCCAACUUUGGGUGACCGCCCCCCCCAAAAUGCUUUAGAAAAAUAUUUCCCUACAGAGGUGAAGGAAAGCAGGAACCUAUGAGUUUACCCAGUGAAUCGGAUCAACGUGUCCAGAUAAUUCAGGUCCCCAAGCCUCUUUUUCUAUAAUAGCAGCAUGUUUAUCUGAAUUUUCUGAGUUGUCACCACCGCUGGACUCAACUUUGCCUGAAUGGACUCAGCUUAAAUUCUUGCCAUGUCCCUGGUCUGUCAUUUCACUGUGCUGAUGAAGGAACUCUGAGGGUGAGACUAUACAUGUAAAACGAAUGGAUCCUAACACACCAAGGCUUUGCUUUUAGCUCACAUGAUCAACCCAAUUUGCUAUAGAACUGAGUCGGCUUCUGUAGUAACUGACAUCAACCAGCAGGGCUGUUAUGCUUGCUGGACGGCCAGGCCACAGUCCAGCUCAUGGCUGCAUGGGGCUUGGACAUGGUCUAGAGCUAUAAUAUGGUGAUAAAGCUGGUGUUUUAAAAUUUAUUUAUUUUAUUAUUAUCAUUAUUUUUAAGCUGGUGGUUUUUAAAGGCUGUUUACUACAAGUAACAUCUCUUACGUGGUGAAAUAGAUAUCUUUCUGCCAACUUGGCUCUCUUGCCUAAACCUUGGUGCUUUCUAGCCUAGUGAUUCUUCGAAUUUGAGGUUUUAUAGAAAGUGAAGUGAAUUAAUUCUCCCUUUCUGUCAGUGUUGUAAGUUCCGUGUGGAGUCCGCUCAGUCGGAAGAACAUCUAUAUUAAUCAGACAAGCUAAGAUGGGGUGGGCCUAAGCUGUCCAUUAGAAUGAUUUAUCUCUACAGAGGACAAAGCACAUCAUGCAAACAGCUACCUAGUUUUAGCAAGAAGCCUAAAAAUUAUAUCGAGUGACUGGUGUUGCCUUACUUAAAUUUAUUUUUUUCUAUUAAAGACAUCCUCAAUUUGAUACAUGACAACAUGGAUUUUGAAAUAUUUGGGGAAUGAUCUUAUCUGCCCUAUUUCAUUCCUUUUUUUUUUUUUUUUGUGGUACGCAGGCCUCUCACUGUUGUGGCCUCUCCUGUUGCGGAGCACAGGCUCCGGACGCGCAGGCUCAGCGGCCAUGGCUCACGGGCCCAGCCGCUUUGCGGCAUGUGGGAUCUUCCCGGACCGGGGCACGAACCUGCGUCCCCUGCAUCGGCAGGCAGACUCUCAACCACUGCACCACAGGGAAGCCCCUGCCCUAUUUCAUUCUUAAACAGCUGAAUUAAAGACCUAAUUCCUACUAAAAGGCUUCAAAAUGAGAAGUUGUUAACUACGAUGAUACUUUCCCCUGGUUAAGGAAAAAGAGUUGGGGCUUUGUCUGAACGGACAUCAUUUCGGAAGUCAAUUUUUCUUUAAACUUCAUUAAAGCUAUAAAAUGUGGGUGGUUAAUCUAAGUGAGAGCUGCCAUUGUCUAAAAAUGCAUUAAGACUUAACCAGACGGGUGGUUGCACGACAGGAGCUAUUUAGGAUUAGAAAGUCAUUGUGAUUUGGAUUUAAGCGAAUUGCAUGCUGUUUACGAAUUCUUCAGCAGUUAAUCUAGAUCGCUUCCAUUCCACCGCAAGCAGAAGGCAGACCUUUCUGCCUCGUUAUCCCAACUUCCACGUCAGUUCCCAGAGGAAUCAAGUUUGUCCUACAGAUGUUGGCUUUAAUGGGGAUGAGGCUGAGGGACUCUAAACUUUCAGUUGCAUUUAUCCCCUUUCUGGAUACUAUUAAGUUUCUCCUGCCUUAAGCAGAGGACCAGUCUUUGCUUCAAAGGCAGCUAAAGAGUGAAUUAUUUACCAAAUUGCACCAAGGGGAAGAUUUACCAAGCCCCCUUUUUUUUCCCAGAGAGGACAACCCCAGAACUGGAGGACUUUCUCAGCAGUAAAUUAUGCCAUUCAGAUGCUUUUGAAAGCUUCCCUUCAUGCUCUGGACUGAGUCAUAAAAUUUGAUACCUGGGGCCAAAUGCCUUUACCCCUCCCAGAAGGGUGAAGAAGAUGAAAAGGCAGCCAUUCUGGGCCAGGGCCACAGAAAGCCGAUGACUGGGCAGAAAAUGUGGGCAGUGGAGACAGUUACUCUGCAUAAUUCACACCUCCUUGACCUGAGGGUCUACUCCGAAAUGGAUUUUAUCAUUUGCGUAAGAUCAUCAGACCCUGCAAAACCUGAAUUGGCCGCUUGGAAAACACUAGGUGUAAUCGGGACCACGAAUUGAUUGCUGUCCUUAUCUCUGAUGCCGGGAUUUUAGAGCUUGUGAAUUUCAAUAAACCCGCCACUCACCUGGAGAGGGUUUGCUGGGGCCCGCGUUCUCUGAUUUCUUUGGAGUCGUGGUACUUUUAUGUUUGUGCUUGACUGAUGUUUGGUCAAUUGCUGGAAGUCUGGAAUCACUCUUACGCGCAGAACUCUUGGCAGGUAAUCCUGGUUCGGCUAGAGCAUGCUUCUCACCAGAACUCUGCCGAAAAUGAAAGGUGUCUGAGUAUCUGUGGUCAAUAGGCCAUCUUGGCUGGGCAGAGGAAGAAGAGACAAGCCAAAUGCAGCAACCCCUCCACAGAGACACUGGAGCAUCCUGCGAGCUCAGUGUGCCCUUUCACCAGGUUUCAUCAGAUUUUCAUGGACUGGGCGUAUCAAUUUAGAAAUAAUAGCAAAGGUAAUGAGUCUAUUUUGUAGAACAUUAUGAAAAGAAUGAAUUCCUGACCCUUAAGUAAUUGGAUAACCAAUAAACAGCUCACGUUAAGAGCUACGUAUGAAAACAGGAGAAACCAUCCGUGCAUUUAAACUUCUCACUAUUUGUUAUUUGAACUACUUUGGGGGGAGGGGGAGGAAAAAUGUUCCUUAUGUUAAUCAUAUACUUGAAAAUGAAAAGGAAAUUUAGAUAAGUGUGUUGGGACUGACUCAAUGAGACCUCAGUUUAAUACUCUGAAUUAUUGGGUGCAACAUAAGACAGAUUAAUCUUUUUUUUUUUUUUUUUUUUUCGGUACGCGGGCCUCUCACCGCUGUGGCCUUUCCCGUUGCGGAGCACAGGCUCCAGACGCGCAGGCUCAGCGGCCAUGGCUCACGGGCCCAGACGCUCCGCGGCACGUGGGGUCUUUCCGGACCGGGGCACGAACCUGCGUCCCCUGCAUCGGCAGGCGGACUCUCUACCACUGCGCCACCAGGGAAGCCCAGAUUAAUCUUUUUAAAAGGCCCCUACUUGUCAGUCUUCUAUAAAGAAGUCAGUAUAAAUCUAUGCACGGACAAAUCCUGACUCAUGCGGUGUCAGAAUAUCUCAACACAGCCUUGCAGACACAAUAAAAAUUAUCCAGGCGUUCAGUAGCUUUACACUUUGCCACACUUACACCCACCAAAGAAAUGAAUGAAAACAAACAUGAACAAUUAGGAGAAACUUGGUCCUGAAGGGCGAUUUAAGUCCUGCCUUAAGGUCUUAGAUCCUGGUGUUAAUAUGAUUUGCUAGGCGAUGCACCCAACAAACAAAACCACAGGGUUCCCCCCCCGGCCCCAGGGGCAGGGUCACUAAAUACUCCUGCACUGCACAGUGGUCUAUAUCGGCAAGUCCUCUGAAAGUGUAGUCCUCUGCGGACACAGAGUGCUAAAUUAACGUCCUCCACGCCUCCCCAGCGGUGCCAAUUUGUAUUGAUUUUGCUUCCCGUUCUCUCUGACAGUUGUGGCAUUUUCAUUUUAAGCCUCCUGACUCAGGAAAAUACUCUGAAUAGCUUUGAAUUAUUGGGGUAACGUAAGACAAACUACGCUCUCAAAAAAGUCCCCUACCUGUCAGUCUUUCUACAAGGAUGUCGGUACAAAUCCACAGGUGGACAGAUCAUUAUUCUCCAGGAUUAGAAAUCAUGUUUGGUCACUUAGAGCCUGGUGACAGCCUUCAAACAAAUAAUUAUUGUUUCUCCCUGCAUUUUCAGAAAACAGACCACCCUCAGAUAAAGGGACGGGAAAAAGGAAAGGAUAUAAUGAGUUGGUUGUUCUCCCUUUUCCCUUUUGGUUCUGGAAUUUAACAGAAAUCCUUGAAAAUGAUUCUGAAAUGUCAAAGAUGAAACAUGAGGUCAUUUCUGAACACGAGAUAGGCUUUCCAUUUUCAGAAAAGGAAAUGUGGGCAAAUUUUAAUUCUGGUGCCUAAGAUGGUCAUAAGGCAAGAAGAACAGUGGUGAACAUGUGACGGAAUUUCUUCCACAAACUGUUCAACAUGAACAACUUACAUUAGCGAAUGGAGAAGCCUGCUCACACAUCUGUUUUUCAGCCAGUGGAAAGGCAGGAAAGAUGCUCUGGGCUAAGACUACCAAUAUCCAUGGUUACAGCAUCAGGAGCAGUAAUAGUGUCCACUCCUGGUGGGUCCAUCCCCUUCACCCUCAGCCAGGACUAGAAUUCUUUGCUUACCCCAGGCAGUGGUGAAUCGGGAGGAGUUGGUGAAGAGACUUUUUAUUGGGUGGGGUGUUAAGCCAUGUUUAUCCUUCCUUACCCAUUCAUUGUACCUCCAGCAUUAAUAGCACCAAAGGUGGAAGAAAACUUGGCCAAUUAAACCAUGCCAAUUACAUAUGGUAUCAUGCACCUGCCUUCCAAGUAUAUCCUUCUCUGGUUCCUGGUUCCAUCAACCUUACUUCCAGUUGCAAAUCUUAUCUAUCUAUCUAUCUAUCUAUCUAUCUAUAUUUUUGGCUGCGUUGGGUCUUCGUUGCUGCGUGUGGGCUUUUCUCUAGUUGCAGAGAGCGGGGGCUACUCUUCGUGGCGGUGCACAGGCUUCUCAUUGCAGUGGCUUCUCCUGUUGCAGAGCACAGGCUCUAGGUGCGUGGUCUCAGCAGUUGUGGCUCGCGGGCUCUAGAAUGCAGGCUCAGUAGUUGUGGCUCACAGGCUUCGUUGCUCCGUGGCAUGUAGGAUCUUCCCGGACCAGGGCUCGAACCCAUGCCCCCUGCAUUGGCAGGCAGAUUCUUAACCACUGAGCCACCAGGGAAGUCCCUGGGAAUCACCCUUGAGUCCAGAAAUUACAGCUGGAAGUGGGUGUUUUGUCGGUUGGAAACUAAAGCCACAAUGGUGAGAACUAUAAUACGUAUGAAUGUGCUACUGGGUCUUUUUGUGCUUGCUUUGAGUAAUCUUAAGCCAAUCACUUCAACUCUUUGUAUCUUCAUUCGUGUCCUGUCAGGUAUUCAGCCAUUCUCAUGUGUCCUCUCUCAUGAAAGCCCAUUAUAUUAUCCAAGGAGGAUGCUCCUUGGGUGAAAGAAGUUGAAGUAACUCAUUCUGGCACUAAAAUGUAGUACUUAAGACUCUGGAGCCCAGCUUCCUGGAAGUGAAUCCUGGCUCUUUCACGUAGUGACCGUGUGACAUGGGAUUAGUUUUAGUUCAUCUCUUUGCCGCUCAGAUUUUCUCAUCUGUGAACAAUAGUGCCUUCUUUUUGGUGGUUCUGUGAGGAUGAAAGGAGUUAAGAUAUGUUUAUAGCACCAAGAGUAGUGGUGCCAGGCACUGAGAAAGUACCAUGUAAGUGUUGGCUUUUGCAAUUAGCCAUUCAUGUUCAGCCAUUUAAAAAAGUAACCAGCUAACCGCUGAAAAUUAACUACCUGCUGUUGAAACCAAAACCAUAAACCCCACUGAAAAAUUCAAAUGCGUUGUCACCUACUUCAAAGAGCAAUGGACGGCGAGGUGGGGCAGUUCUGUGGUACAAGUUCUCUUUCAGACAGUAAAGUUCUAAUGGCAAACAUUUAACAACAUUUAAAGAUUAGCAGACAAUAAAAAUUAAAUUAUGUUGAUUUUAAGCUGAUUUUAAAACUGUCUCCUCCUCUCGCAAUUUUGAAGAGUAGUUACAAUUUUCUUCCCCCAUAUGUUCCUAAGUUGAAAUGUCACAUGGAGGUGGAGGCAAGAGCAUACUGCUCUUCCUUUAGGGGAAGAAAACUAGCGCUGUGUUUCAAAAUCAAAGCCUGAAACAUUAAAAAAAAAAAAAACUAAACUAAAAAACCCAGAUUACAUAAUACAUGUGUAGACUUUUUUUAAAUUAAUUUAUUUAAUUUAUUUAUUUUUGGCUACAUUGGGUCUUCGUUCCUACGCAUGGGCUUUUCUCUAGUUGCAGCGAGCAGGGGCUACUCUUUGUUGCGGUACACAGGCUUCUCAUUGCGGUGGCUUCUCUUGCUGCAGAGCAUGGGCUCUAGGCACGUGGGCUUCAGUAGUUGUGGCACGUGGGCUCAGUAGUUGUGGCUCGCAGGCUCUAGAGCGCAGGCUCAGUAGUUGUGGCGUACGGGCUUAGUUGCUCCACAGCAUGUGGGAUCUUCCCAGACCAGGGCUCGAACCCAUGUCCCCUGCAUUGGCAGGCGGAUUCUUAACCACUGCGCCACCAGGGAAGCCCCAUGUGUAGACUUUAAGUUCUCUCUUGGUAAUCUGAUGAGCGUCCUAAUAAAGCCACAUUGACUGAAAGAAGUUAUUGUCAAAAUUAAUAUUUUUCUGGAGUAUUAUGGGUUUUGCAGUCAACAUUUUCCAAAGAUCCCCAACUUGCUCUUUUGGCAUCAUCCAUAAUAAAGUAGAGAUAUGACCUUGCUAGAAACUCUCAAAAGUUCAGAGCAAGACUCACGCUAGGAAAAGAAGGGACUUACAUUAGGGAAUUGGGCACUGAAGUAGCAACUUCGAAACAUGAUAAUGGUUCUAGUUAGACCUCCUGGAUGAUGGAGACCCAAGGAUUGGCAAGUGGGAUGCGUUUCUUCAGGGAUGUUAGAGUGACUAGAUUUUUUUUUUUUU